rnacentral:misc_RNA from 1 species
CCGCGCGGCCUCUCCACCGGCCGUACAUGUGGCUCGGCCGCGGCGCGAUGCCUGGCAGAUUCGCCGACCGAGGCAGGCGCCACGAGACCCCAUCUGGCAGUCGUCACGUACGUACGACUACGAGAAAAGUCGGCGCCCUGCCACUGCGUGUCAAAACCGCGUCGUCGCCAGCGGCUAUUAAUACCUCCGGCGAGACCACUCGCCGUUACAACCAUCAGGACGCGGACGCGGCUCACAUCAAACACCCCCUUCAGCUGUGCUCGGUGCUCACUGCCGCAAAACCACAACCACACAGGGAAGCGCCCAGCGCCCAGCACCCUUUCAAAUCACCACAUCCACGCUCCUCCGUUCCAUGGCCAUGUCGAGCAGCGCCAGCAAGAAGCAAGCCCAGGCCCAGGCCCAGAAGGCCGGGCGGAGGCCCCCGGCGGUGUCGUCGGCCGCGGCCGCGGACGCGGACGCGGAGAUGCAGAGGGUGUUCUCGCGCAUCGACGCGGACGGCGACGGGCGGAUCUCGCCGUCGGAGCUGGCGGCGGUGUCGCGCGCCAUCUCCCCGCCGGCGAGCUCCUCGCACGGGCGGCGCGAGGUGGCGGCCAUGAUGGACGAGCUGGACACGGACCGCGACGGCUUCGUGGACCUGGGCGAGUUCAGGGCGUUCCACGCGCGCGGCGUUGGCGGCGGCGGGGACGACGGCGACGACGCGGAGCUCCGCGCCGCCUUCGCCGUGUACGACGCCGACGGCGACGGGCGCAUCACGGCGGCCGAGCUGGGCAGCGUGCUCGCCCGCAUCGGCGAGGGGUGCAGCGCCGAGGAGUGCCGCCGGAUGAUCGCCGGCGUCGACGCCGACGGCGACGGCUGCGUCGGGUUCGAGGAGUUCAAGAUCAUGAUGCGCGGCCCCCAGCCCCAGCCCCAGCCUCAGCCUCAGGCCGGCGCCGGAGUGACAGCCGUGCCGGACAAGGCCAAGAAGGAGUGACGGGUGUAGGUGUAGGUGUACUCAUCUGGGCAUCAGUCGGGGGGAAGGGAUCGAGUUCCUCUGCCUCUUCUGUUGCUUUCACCUAGUCUGGACUGGAGGAAUGGAAAUACUCAACUUCCUGCAUAAGACUACUUAUUAUCUACAGUAUUAUUAUGUAUAUUGUGGCGUGUCCGAUUUCCUGAGCCAGAUCACACCCGUCUUGUUUGACUUCUCACUUCUCCAAGCCGUUCCCACAGCUCACAUGUGUGCAAUUUCGCUGCGAUUCGAUGGUUCUGGUCAGAGGAUUAGCGCGGAAGCAAACACGGCAAUCUAGGGACAGAAAAAAAGAGUUCUUCAGACACGAGUUUUUCUCUGAACCUUCUUCUGCUUUCCUGUGAUUUCCCUGUUCCAGAUUUCGGUGAGCUUUCGUUUGAUCUUUGACAGCCUGUAGUGACCAGCAAUAUGCGUUCGCCAUCCCGAGAGCAAAGUGGUCGUGGCCGUGGGUGACUGACCGCGGCACUGAAGCAUCACAUUCUGUGGCUUUGUGAGCAGUUGCUGCCUUGCUGGUCUUGAUCUCCACGGACCACGGCAAGUCGCAGUCGGCAACGCCCUUCGGAACCAUCCAGCCCCUCUUUCGGAUCACGCAGAGUGCAGACGAAGAUCUUCGCUUGUUCAGCCCGUCAUCUAAAGCUCAGAUCUUCAGAGAUAUAGUAUCAGUUUGAUCUGUCCAAGCUCACUUUCUCUUCUUGGGGUCGACCGAAGUUUCAAAUCAAAUGGACUCCCACGAUCAUAAUCGAAGAGACAAAAAAAAGAUACGCAGAAUGUGGAUAUACUGGUCAAAAGCUAAUUAAUUGGACGGUGCUCACCACAGGGCAAGAGAGAGAGAGAGCUUGGCACAAUCGCCACCGGUUCGUGUAUCCCUGUGAGACCCGUGGCCGGAGUAGCGCCAACUCCGACGUGAGCACCCCAGGUGGCUGCCUCCGAGGGAAGGACAAGCGCAGCAGGUACCAGCGCCAGGAGACCUCCACCGGCUUCCGCAAUCGCCAUGACCUCCGUGCCUCCAGCCAGAUGCUCUCCGCCGGCCACUGGCUCCACCGUGAGGUCCACCUCGUCGGCAAC